rnacentral:rRNA from 2 species
CACUUACAGAUGGACCCGCGGCGCAUUAGCUAGUUGGUGAGGUAACGGCUCACCAAGGCGACGAUGCGUAGCCGACUUGAGAGGGUGAUCGGCCACACUGGGACUGAGACACGGCCCAGACUCCUACGGGAGGCAGCAGUAGGGAAUCUUCCGCAAUGGACGAAAGUCUGACGGAGCAACGCCGCGUGAGUGAUGAAGGUUUUCGGAUCGUAAAACUCUGUUGUUAGGGAAGAACAAGUAUCGUUCGAAUAGGGCGGUACCUUGACGGUACCUAACCAGAAAGCCACGGCUAACUACGUGCCAGCAGCCGCGGUAAUACGUAGGUGGCAAGCGUUGUCCGGAAUUAUUGGGCGUAAAGCGCGCGCAGGCGGUUUCUUAAGUCUGAUGUGAAAGCCCACGGCUCAACCGUGGAGGGUCAUUGGAAACUGGGAGACUUGAGUGCAGAAGAGAAGAGCGGAAUUCCACGUGUAGCGGUGAAAUGCGUAGAGAUGUGGAGGAACACCAGUGGCGAAGGCGGCUCUUUGGUCUGUAACUGACGCUGAGGCGCGAAAGCGUGGGGAGCGAACAGGAUUAGAUACCCUGGUAGUCCACGCCGUAAACGAUGAGUGCUAAGUGUUAGAGGGUUUCCGCCCUUUAGUGCUGCAGCUAACGCAUUAAGCACUCCGCCUGGGGAGUACGGCCGCAAGGCUGAAACUCAAAGGAAUUGACGGGGGCCCGCACAAGCGGUGGAGCAUGUGGUUUAAUUCGAAGCAACGCGAAGAACCUUACCAGGUCUUGACAUCCUCUUGACCUCCCUAGAGAUAGGGAUUUCCCUUCGGGGACAAGAGUGACAGGUGGUGCAUGGUUGUCGUCAGCUCGUGUCGUGAGAUGUUGGGUUAAGUCCCGCAACGAGCGCAACCCUUGACCUUAGUUGCCAGCAUUCAGUUGGGCACUCUAAGGUGACUGCCGGUGACAAACCGGAGGAAGGUGGGGAUGACGUCAAAUCAUCAUGCCCCUUAUGACCUGGGCUACACACGUGCUACAAUGGAUGGUACAAAGGGUUGCUAGACCGCGAGGUUACGCCAAUCCCAUAAAACCAUUCUCAGUUCGGAUUGUAGGCUGCAACUCGCCUACAUGAAGCCGGAAUCGCUAGUAAUCGCGGAUCAGCAUGCCGCGGUGAAUACGU